UCCUUACUGCCACAAUGAAAACAUAAAUGAUAACACUGCCCCAUUACCCCAUUAAUGGUUGCAGAACAACUCCCACUUGUGGUCUCCAUGACUUGGGAGACAACUAUAUAUGCUAGCUGAAUAUUUUAGCAGAUAUAAUAGCAGACUAAUGCUGGGAAUUUUGGGGGUAAGGGAGCAAGGUAUGAAAACAAACAUGAUCAAUGGCUAAAAAAUGCAGUGUGCUAACAAACAUUAAUAAGUGCUUACUAGGAUGGACUUGAAUCAAAUCUUUAACUCCAGCAGACCAUGAAGUAUGGUGGAAGUUUGGAGUCCAACCCCAGAUCUGCCAUCUUGUCAGCCUCUCUCUCUUUGCAAAGGGUUGAACCAAACUCACGAAGCUCAAGGUCUGUCUGUUAAGAGGCCUGUUGGACAUGGAGAACAAAAAAAAUGUUGCCUGCAUGGAAAAAACCUCCUUUGUUUUGAAGCAUGUAAAGACAAAGACAGUUGAGGAAGUGUAUUGCAGAGGUGUUUUAUUGCCUUUUCAGAUAAUUUCUGUUGAGUUUAUUUUAUGAGCUUUGGCCACGUUUUUACAUUACUAGUGAAUAAAGCUCUCAUUGUUCAACGGGAGUCAUCUGGUGACUCAUGAAUUUCUUCAAAUGCUGCUUAAAAAAACCUUCAUGUGAUAUUGAGAAUGCUUCUAUAUAUAGCUACAGGCCUACAGAAAAUGAACCACUGUUGAGCUUGAUCAGUUACUGGACUGGGGAGGCUCAGACAAUUCAGGAUUGAUGGCCACAAGGAAGAAGCGAGAGUAGGGCAUCAUCUCUGCUCCUCAUGGAAACACAAGUGUGGACAUGCCUUACAUAAAACUUGCUGUUAACAGGGAAGUCAAAGGAUGUUUGGCUGGGCAAACAACUGCUCUACACGAUUUGCCUAAUUUUCUAGGUCAUUCUGUAUGAAGUGAGUCUUUCAAACCCAGCUUCUCUAACAACUUCACAGUUGUGUGCUCAGGAGGCUCCCGGGUAUGCCGUCUGUCUGCAGGCCAAGCAGCAUGAUGCUUUCGAGGAAAAGUGCCCUUCCUGUCUGGGUGAGUGACUACAGUCCAAAGUGCAGCUGUUGUUAUUUUCAAAAAGUUGAUGUGAGGGCAGAAGUGCACCAAGCCACUUUAUAAACCAGCUGUGGCUUAACUUCCACUUACACAUUUUCAUUGUACUGUUCAACUUAUGUAUUAGUAAAAUGUUAAAAGGGUGAUGUCUCACUCCUCCCUCAGAGGAGUAUCUGGUAAUCUCAUAGAUCAGUUUUUGCCUUAUUAAACCAAAACCAUGUCUAGUGCUCACUUUUUCUUCCUCUAGCUUGCUAUUUCAUUAUCUAGUAUGUUACAGGCAAUUCAGAAAUACAGUACAUUGUUCCCUGGUAAGAACUGCUUCAGGUAAGUAGAACUUAGAUCCAAGUCAUUGUCUGCUAAAAGAGGUUGGUAAAGAUAUGUAUAUAUAUAUUUUUCAACUUGUGAAGAAUAUCUUUAAAUGCACUAUUGACAUGGGAAAUGUACCCUACCAGGGUCAGUCUGGGGAGCAAAAAAAGGAAAAGUUUCUGUAAAUCUGAACCCAUGUUUAGAAAUGAGAGUUUAAGACUGUGAUUUUAUACCCAUGGUAAUACGGGGGGGGGGACAAAUUGCAUUGUCUGCUGUGAUAGACUCUCCCAAGGGAGAUUGCCCCUUACUUUGUUCCCUACCACUACAUACCUUGCCUUAGCCUUAAGUGGGGUCUGGAUGGAGCAGGUCCCACAUCCUCCUGCAGGGUGCUCUCACAUUAAAACGUUUCCCACAACAUCCUUUGUCUGGGAGAUUUUGCUGCAUUUCCUAUUUGCAUUCUACAGUUCUUGCUGCUGUGUGGUGCUUUCAGGCAGAUGGUUAUUGCGUGCCUGGAAGCACAAGGGAGGAACCAGAGAGACGAGCUUAUACUACACCAGAGAAAAAAAAUGCAUCUUCAGCGGCAGCAGGGCCUCAAGGAAAGAUCAACACUGAAGAUCUUUUCCCUUUUCUGCAUAACACUGAAAUACUAGGGAGAAAUAUGGAGGGCAGGCAAUAUCAGUAUAAUCCCCUUCUUAACUCUGAAAGAGAGAAUCGUGAGACAUCUGUAAGUGGUCCCUCUGGGAGCUGGAUAAGGUGAUGUAUGCAUUGACCAUAAAGGUCUAAAUAGCUGAUCAAAAUGUGGUUACAGACACUCAGGAUGACCAGAUUUUCAGGGGUGCUAAGAACUAAUAAACGCCUCUGAAGCCAAUGGGAUCUGUGUGACCGGGUUGCCUUUGCAAAUUAAGCAUUAUAAAACUGAGCCAUGUGUUAAUACAGCUUUAAAAAUACGUUAAAAUGACCACCUUGCAACCCCAAAUACUAAGUAAUUUUACAUGCAACGUAUUAAGAAAAGAUAGAAAUUAACCUAAUGCACCAUAACUUAUAAUAUUUAGUGAAAAUAUUGAUAUUUCUGUCCUAAACACUGUGCCUCUAAUAAGGACACAAAACUAUGAGCAGUUUAAAUCCAAAUCAAUGCAUUGACAAAACAGCAAAUCUUCAAAUUACCAAACAAUUCAAAGUUAGUGUAUUUCUCCAUGUAACCUUUCUUAUUACUUGCAGCAAACAAAGUCCCACUUACUCAUGUGAAUGCAACAGCUGACCAGUCAAUAGCUGAAUAUUCUUGUAAGUCUGCCUAUGCUGUAUUACAAGAUAUCUGAUUGAUAAUCCUACAAAGCUUCCUCAGUUUAAAAGGGCAAUCCUCGAUCAAAUCUUCUCUGUUUAAUGCCUGAAUGUCAACUUCUCUCAGUGCCUGCAUGCUGUCUGCAGCCAUGUAUCCUCUAAAAUGAGGCCCUGGGAGCACCUCCAUACCCUGUUCUUGUAUCCCUUGGCUCCAACACAACCCUGCAUCAUCGUAAGUUCCUAAAAUGGGCGUGGGCAUACCUCUUUUACUGCCAUCUUACACCUCUAGUGCUGCAGAAAAGCAUUUCUUCUCUCUUUAGAGAAUCUGUGAACAGGAGCCCUACUAUCAACUUUAGCAAACAAAGGCUAUGUGCUCUCUCCUUAGCCUUUCCAGAAAGUGGUAAGGGGUGCUAAGAAGGAAGUCCUCUUUGCUUGUACCAUUACAUUUGUACCAUUUACCAUUUGGCAAAUGGUCAAAUGGUAAACUGUCACAUGAAGGAACUAAGUUUGUGCAUCCACUUCUUGCAUAAUUGCUACUGAAUGUAUCAGUCAGUGCUCCCGUGACUGAUUUUGAAUAUUCAGUAUGAGUUGAGUUGACACAACUAGCAGUGAAACAGAUGCUUUGUUUUUCCUUCCCCUUCUGCAUGAAGAGUUCCAAGACACGAAUUCCUUACUGUGAAACAUGGGCCUGACCACAGGACUGGGUCAGUAAGGUCAGUGAAUAACUCCUCUGGACACAGUCCUUGCAAGAUCCAUUUUUCACAGGACUUGGGUAGGAAAGGAUCUGAAAUCUUAUCCUUCUGACUGUGGGUUUUGAAGGAAAGGUAAGCUGUUCGUGGUUCUCAGAACUACCUUUUUAAGAUAUGAAAACUGAGUUUUCCCUUACAAUUUAACAUUUCCUCUGCUCUCAAUCACAGGAAACAUCAGGUGGCAGUGACUUUUCAUGAGUGAUCGUCUGAGCUACAUUUUUCAUUAAUGUAACUCCUGGCCCCCAAACCCAAUUCCUGGAGAGGAAACAACAGACAUCAAUUAAUUCUGUAGAGAGUACAGAGGAUUACAUAAUGGUAACAUGGGAAAACCAAACCAAACCUUUAUCCAGCUAUAAUCCUGCCACAGUUCAGCUAAAGAUUUCAUCAUUCUGACUAAUAGGAUUAACGCGCACACCAAGGGGCUCCAAUUGUCUAGUGUCACUGCCUUAUUCAUUUAGGUGCUGGCCAGUUUCAGAGCCAGGGAGAUCCCUGAAAGGAUGCCAGUAUCAAGCAACACAUACUUUCCAUUUUUGAGGAAUGAAUCUGAAGAAAUCUUACUAGGACAUUUGUUGUUAAGGGGGUAAAGUUAUUCAGUAUGGAAGUCAAGGUCCUGGGAAUAAUUUCCUGUAGGUCCUGUAGAUAAUUUCCAUGCUUGGCAGCAUUUCCCUCUUUAGUUCCAGUUUGUGAUUUUUUUAUUCUCCUUAGUUAAAUCUUCUGCUUGACUUGCAACCCCAAAUGCCAGUCCGCUCUUUUUUUUACUAGCUAAGUAAAUACUAGCACUUUGCUUCAUGAAGUGAUAAUGUUGGUGUGCAGCAAUGUCCAACUGAAAGCCAUGAGCCACAGAGGCCUCUGUGCCAGAGCCCACCCAACCAACCCCAGCAUAGGAGCAGGGCAGGCCCAGAGAUCAUAUGCAGACUCCAACAAGUGUCUGGAUCACCAGACAAGCUCGUGUUGAUGAGACACGAGGUCCAAGGUCAAGCUAGCAAGUCAAUCAAUAGGUCAGAUCCAGCGAAUGCCAGUCAGCUCCAGAAAGACAAGGGAGGCCCAAGGUCAACCUGUAAAGUCAGUCCCUUGGUCAGGGCCUGCCAGGCAGGGACACAAUUGUGGCUGAGCUGGAGCACACUCGUUUCACAAAGCUUAUACAUAAACUCCAACUCAGUGAAUGCUCAGCACUGAGCUUAAAUAUCCUAUGGAAGAGGGUAUGGGUAGAGGCCCAGAUUAGUUUUCUCAAGGCUGUUAAGAUCUGAUGUCUCACUUGUUCUGUUCUACUCCCUCCAACACCACAGCAAUUCAUUGGUAACUCAUAGAUAACACCUGUGGAAAGAAAUCAUCCCAGUGAAUGUUCCUGAUUAAUUUUUAAUUUAUAAAAAUUUACAUAAAAAUUCACUUUGUCAACAGAAUGAUCUUUCUCUUUUUCUUGUUAUGAUUGAGACCAAUGAAGUGCAAUGACCGCAUAUAGGAGGGUCUCUAUUAGGGAUUCAUUUGUUUUCUUUGUCAAAAGAUGUUUCUUUAGUGAAUAUAUAUUGGAGAUUUAUGAAUUGUAGUCUUUAAAAUCCUGGAAACAAAUAUUCAGUACUAUCUAUCUGAAAA